GGCUCCCUGGGCUGUGGAGUAAUCUGGGAAUGGAUGUGAAAAGGCUUUGUAAGCUGGCCCCUGGGAGCUGAGGUGAGUGGCCACUUUGAGCACAGGUACCCAGAGGGAAGCAUGGAGACUAGGGGCCACUGGCGGGGGGUAGGGGUGGGGAGGGAAAUCCCACCCCCCAGGGGACUGGGGGCCACUGGGAUGGUGAGAGGUGAGGACAGAGGUGUGGGGAAACACGAAAGGGGUGUGUCAGAGGUACUUUCUGGGGCGUGGAGAAAUAAGGUGUGCUGUGUCCCUGUCCUGCCCACCACGUUCAGGUGACUUAGCGAAAUUAGGUGACUCAUCAAGCCACUGCAGCCUGCGACAAGGCCCCUUAACAACAUCCACCCGGCUUUGCUGGAACUUGCCCUCGUGGAACAAGCCCUGUGGAUUUGGCCUCUGCCCUGGGAAGAGAGGGACUGAAUCACCAGCAAGAGCUCAGGCCUCAGGCUCAUUCACCUCCAUUCGGUAAACGCAGAACAGCUGAGCCUCCCUCCAAGCCAGGCCCAGAGGUGGGGAUCCAAAGACUCAAAACUGAAGCUGUCCUGUGUGGUGUUGGGAAGAAAGCCCCGGAAUUGUCAUAGAAGGUGCCGACCUCAGUGACCCGAGCCGGCUGCGUGGGUUGAACCCAGGCUCCCCACCUGUCCAGAUCUUGCACAAGCACCUUCAGGGCCUGUUUCCUCGCCUGUAAAAUGGGGAUGCAACACCCACCUCUCUAGCUGUUGCAAGAUCAAACGAGUUCAUGCACAUACGACCGAGUCAGAGCCUGUAGGACAGUGCUGGGCAGACUGUCUCAUCACCCCCAGCUCCCUGUCUCCGGCUCCGUCCUGUUCUUGGAGCCCUUCCCUGUCCCCACUCAGACCUGCCAGCUGUCACCUCCUCCAAGGGUGUGCUCUGCCCGCCGCAUCGUAGGUAGCCUGUUCUUCCCCAUUGCCUACCUUUCACUUUUUCUCCCUCCAGAUCCCCCAAGUCCCCUCGUGACCCUGAGGGUGUCCUCAGCCCUUCCCCAUCUUCCCAGACUGCCCCGGCCACCUUGCCCCUCCCUCCACGCCCCUCCCCCACCACAGCACAAACCAGGCUGGACUGUCCAUCGCAUGUUUUAUUGUAAAAAUGUUAAAAUAAAUUACAUCUGACAUCAUUGCCGGUACGUAUAUACAGUGUGUGUGAUUCCAGGUCAGCCAGUGACACCCCAGCAAGGUGGGGUGAGG